CAUUGAUCCUCCUAGAAAACCCAAUUCUGGCAUUUGGUUUGUGCUACAAGCAUCAGAAAACCAAGAAAAAGAACCGUUCCUGCCUCAGAUUCCAAAGAGCUACCUGAGAAUCAAAGACGGGAAGAUGACAGUGCAGCUAUUAAUGAAGUAUCUGGUCAACAAGCUGAGACUGGAAAGCGAAUCAGAGGUAGAGAUAAGAUGCAAAGGGCAACAGCUCGAGCCUUUCCUGACGUUGCACCAAGUAAGAGAUGAAAUUUGGAGUCCAAGGGAC